ACCCAGUCUAAUCUGUCUAAUCUGUGUUAGUAGACAGGUACCCAGUCUAAUCUGUCUAAUCUGUGUUAGUAGACAGGUACCCAGUCUAAUCUGUCUAAUCUGUGUUAGUAGACAGGUACCCAGUCUAAUCUGUGUUAGUAGACAGGUACCCAGUCUAAUCUGUGUUAGUAGACAGGUACCCAGUCUAAUCUGUGUUAGUAGACAGGUACCCAGUCUAAUCUGUCUAAUCUGUGUUAGUAGACAGGUACCCAGUCUAAUCUGUGUUAGUAGACAGGUACCCAGUCUAAUCUGUCACAACGUUGACAGUCAUGCGACCCUCUCCUGUAGUGGUUGUGGCUGUUCCCCCUGUAUCAGGCACCUCAUCAGCAGCCUGCAC